rnacentral:rRNA from 1 species
GCCCUUAGAGUUUGAUCAUGGCUCAGAAUGAACGCUGGCGGCGUGCCUAACACAUGCAAGUCGAGCGAGAAAGGGGACUUCGGUUCCUGACGAGAGCGGCGCACGGGUGAGUAACGCGUGGAUAAUCUGCCCAUUGAUUCGGGAUAACAGUGGGAAACCGCUGCUAAUACCGAAUAAGCUCAUGCAUUUUGGAGAUGUGUGGGGAAAGGCGGCCUCUGAUUCAAGCUGCCGUCUAUGGAUGAGUCCGCGUCCCAUUAGCUUGUUGGAGGGGUAAAGGCCUACCAAGGCGACGAUGGGUAGCCGGCCUGAUAGGGGGGCCGGCCACUCUGGGACUGGAACACGG